rnacentral:rRNA from 1 species
GACGAACGCUGGCGGCGUGCCUAAUACAUGCAAGUCGAGCGCAGGAAACUGACGGAACUCUUCGGAGGGAAGGCAGCGGAAUGAGCGGCGGACGGGUGAGUAACACGUAAGGAACCUGCCUCAAGGAUUGGGAUAACUCCGAGAAAUCGGAGCUAAUACCGGAUAGUUCAUCGGACCGCAUGGUCCGCUGAUGAAAGGCGCUCCGGCGUCACCUUGAGAUGGCCUUGCGGUGCAUUAGCUAGUUGGUGGGGUAACGGCCCACCAAGGCGACGAUGCAGAGCCGACCUGAGAGGGUGAUCGGCCACGCUGGGACUGAGACACGGCCCAGACUCCUACGGGAGGCAGCAGUAGGGAAUCUUCCACAAUGGACGAAAGUCUGAUGGAGCAACGCCGCGUGAGUGAUGAAGGUUUACGGAUCGUAAAACUCUGUUGUAAGGGAAGAACACGUACGAGAGGGAAUGCUCGUACCUUGACGGUACCUUACGAGAAAGCCACGGCUAACUACGUGCCAGCCGCCGCCGUAA